rnacentral:rRNA from 1 species
GACGAACGCUGGCGGCGUGCUUAACACAUGCGAGUCGAGCGAGGCCCCUCCUUCGGGAGGGUGUCCCAGCGGCGAACGGGUGAGUAACACGUGGGCAACCUGCCCUCAGCUCUGGGAUAACUCCGGGAAACCGGGGCUAAUACCGGAUACGACCUCCACGGGCAUCUGCGGAGGUGGAAAGUUUUUCGGCUGAGGAUGGGCCCGCGGCCUAUCAGCUAGUUGGUGGGGUAGUGGCCCACCAAGGCGACGACGGGUAGCCGGCCUGAGAGGGCGACCGGCCACACUGGGACUGAGACACGGCCCAGACUCCUACGGGAGGCAGCAGUGGGGAAUAUUGCGCAAUGGGCGAAAGCCUGACGCAGCGACGCCGCGUGAGGGACGAAGGCCUUCGGGUUGUAAACCUCUUUCAGCAGGGACGAAGCGAAAGUGACGGUACCUGCAGAAGAAGCACCGGCCAACUACGUG